GAAAUCCACGCUAAUACCGCAUAUGUCCUACGGGACAAAGCAGGGGACCUUCGGGCCUUGCGCUAUUGGAUGAGCCUAUGUCGGAUUAGCUAGUUGGUAGGGUAAAAGCCUACCAAGGCAACGAUCCGUAGCUGGUCUGAGAGGAUGAUCAGCCACACUGGGACUGAGACACGGCCCAGACUCCUACGGGAGGCAGCAGUGGGGAAUAUUGCACAAUGGGCGCAAGCCUGAUGCAGCAAUGCCGCGUGUGUGAAGAAGGCCUGCGGGUUGUAAAGCACUUUUAUUAGGAAAGAAAAACCCGGAGCUAAUACCUCCGGCAUUGACGGUACCUAAAGAAUAAGCACCGGCUAACUCAGUGCCAGCAGCCGCGGUAAUACUGAGGGUGCAAGCGUUAAUCGGAAUUACUGGGCGUAAAGCGAGUGUAGGCGGCUAUUUAAGUCGGAUGUGAAAGCCCUGGGCUCAACCUGGGAAUUGCAUUCGAAACUGAAUAGCUAGAGUUUGGUAGAGGUAAGUGGAAUUCCGGGUGUAGCGGUGAAAUGCGUA
rnacentral:rRNA from 1 species